rnacentral:rRNA from 1 species
GACGAACGCUGGCGGCGUGCUUAACACAUGCAAGUCGAACGGAGUGGCGAACGGGGGAGUAACACGUGGGUGACCUGCCCUGCACUUCGGGAUAAGCCUGGGAAACUGGGUCUAAUACCGGAUAGUGUGGGAUGGGUGCGCGGCCUAUCAGCUUGUUGGUGGGGUAAUGGCCUACCAAUGCGGCGACGCGUAGCCGGCCUGGGAGGGUGGACGGCCCCAUUGGCACCGGGACGCGGCCCAGGCGCCUACGGGGGGCAGCGGGGAGGAAUGUUACACGAUGGGCGGCAGCCUGAUGCAGGGCCUCCGCGUGGGGGAUGACGGCCUUCGGGUUGGAAACUCGUUUCGCCAUCGACUCGGAAGAAGGGAAAGAAGCACCGCUAAACUACGUGCAGGCAGCGGGGGAAAUU